rnacentral:tRNA from 1 species
GGCACUUUGGCGGAGUGGUUAACGCGCCAGCCUGCUAAGCUGGUACCUUCGGGGUAAGUGACAAGAAUACGCACAAUGUUUAACAAUACAUAAAUUAACAUCUCUCAAUUAGUGCGUGAGUUCGAAUCUCACAGGUGUCG